AGUGAACGCUGGCGGUAGGCCUAACACAUGCAAGUCGAACGGCAGCACAGUAAGAGCUUGCUCUUACGGGUGGCGAGUGGCGGACGGGUGAGGAAUACAUCGGAAUCUACUUUUUCGUGGGGGAUAACGUAGGGAAACUUACGCUAAUACCGCAUACGACCUACGGGUGAAAGCAGGGGAUCUUCGGACCUUGCGCGAUUGAAUGAGCCGAUGUCGGAUUAGCUAGUUGGCGGGGUAAAGGCCCACCAAGGCGACGAUCCGUAGCUGGUCUGAGAGGAUGAGCAGCCACACUGGAACUGAGACACGGUCCAGACUCCUACGGGAGGCAGCAGUGGGGAAUAUUGGACAAUGGGCGCAAGCCUGAUCCAGCCAUACCGCGUGGGUGAAGAAGGCCUUCGGGUUGUAAAGCCCUUUUGUUGGGAAAGAAAAGCAGCAGGUUAAUACCCCGCUGUUCUGACGGUACCCAAAGGAUAAGCACCGGCUAACUUCGUG
rnacentral:rRNA from 1 species